ACGGCUCAGUAACACGUGGAUAACCUGCCCUUGGGUCUGGGAUAACCCCGGGAAACUGGGGAUAAUACCGGAUAACGCAUAUAUGCUGGAAUGCUUUAUGCGUAAAAUGGAUUCGUCUGCCCAAGGAUGGGUCUGCGGCCUAUCAGGUAGUAGUGGGUGUAAUGUACCUACUAGCCUACAACGGGUACGGGUUGUGAGAGCAAGAGCCCGGAGAUGGAUUCUGAGACAUGAAUCCAGGCCCUACGGGGCGCAGCAGGCGCGAAAACUUUACAAUGCGGGAAACCGUGAUAAGGGGACACCGAGUGCCAGCAUCAUAUGUUGGCUGUCCAGAUGUGUAAAAUACAUCUGUUAGCAAGGGCCGGGCAAGACCGGUGCCAGCCGCCGCGGUAACACCGGCGGCCCGAGUGGUGAUCGUGAUUAUUGGGUCUAAAGGGUCCGUAGCCGGCCGGAUAAGUCUCUUGGGAAAUCUGGCAGCUUAACUGUCAGGCUUUCAGGGGAUACUGUCUGGCUCGAGGCCGGGAGAGGUGAGAGGUACUUCAGGGGUAGGGGUGAAAUCUUGUAAUCCUUGAAGGACCACCAGUGGCGAAGGCGUCUCACCAGAACGGACCUGACGGCAAGGGACGAAAGCUAGGGGCACGAACCGGAUUAGAUACCCGGGUAGUCCUAGCCGUAAACGAUACUCGCUAGGUGUCGGCCACGGUGCGACCGUUGUCGGUGCCGUAGGGAAGCCGUGAAGCGAGCCACCUGGGAAGUACGGCCGCAAGGCUGAAACUUAAAGGAAUUGGCGGGGGAG
rnacentral:rRNA from 1 species